GAGGGCACAGCUCAGUGGUAGAGUGCUUGCUUAGCAUGCAGGAGGUCCUGGGUUCAAUCCCCAGUGCCUCCA
rnacentral:tRNA from 1 species